rnacentral:rRNA from 1 species
GCUUGUCUCAAAGAUUAAGCCAUGCAUGUCUAAGUAUAAACACCUUUAUACUGUGAAACUGCGUACAGCUCAUUAAAUCAGUAAUAAUUUAUUUGAUGGUGACUUACUACAUGGAUAACCGUAGUAACCUAGAGCUAAUACAUGCACAAAAUCCCGACUUCACGGAAGGGAUGUAUUUAUUAGAUAAAAAACCAAUCCGGCAACGGUGCUUGGUGAUUCAUAAUAACUUAACGAAUCGCAUGGCCUUGCGCCGGCGAUGGUUCAUUCAAAUUUCUGCCCUAUCAACUUUCGAUGGUAAGAUAGUGGCUUACCAUGGUCUCAACGGGUAACGGGGAAUUAGGGUUCUAUUCCGGAGAGGGAGCCUGAGAAACGGCUACCACAUCCAAGGAAGGCAGCAGG